UUAGCUCAGGGCCAAUCUUCCUCACCAAAAUCUUACCUUAAAAAAAAAGAAAAAGCACAUUACAUUAUGCUUUGUGUGAUAGAUUGUGUAAUACUGGACCUCAAAUUUAUUCGUGCCUCCCUGUACCCACGUCCUUUGGUUGUCUCCUCCCAUACUGAUUGCUCUUGGCCAUGUGACUUGCCAAAUGCAACAAUAGAAGUUUGAAAACUUCUCACACUUUGGGAAAAUUGUCCACUCUUAUUCCUGGGAAUACUUCCACCAUUAUGUGAAGAAACCUCGGCUAGAAUAAUGGAGGAUGAAAGACCAAGCAGAGAGAGUUUCCAGAAAUUGUCAUUGAGGCCCCAGACACGUGAGUAAGGUGAUUCUAGACAUCUAGGCUCAGCUUAGCUGGUUCUGAUCAGAAUUACUCAACGAACCCCGAGCACUAUGAGAAAUAAGUGUUCGUUAUAUUUGGCCAGUACACGAUACGUUUUGGGGUGGCUGGUUAUCAGUUAGCAAACACUAACUGAUACAAUAUGUCAUGCUAUGCUUAUUUCUUUCCCUUAAGAAAUUGACAAAGUGUUUUACUGGUAUUAACUUACAGUGCAUUUAAAGACUGAAUAACGGGAAACCUUGAAUCUAGCAUUGACAUUUCAUUCCUGCAUCUUGAGUAGUUUGUUCAGAAUAAUCAGUGACUUAUAAUUAUAAUUGAUGCAUCAGUAAGCAAAUUUUGAUAUUCAUGAAAUGAGGUAAUAUACAUAUCACUAAAUAUGAUAAUGCUAGUAAUUUUCCUACUCGAUUUAUGUUUAAGGAUAUGUCACAAACAGUGGUAUUCAACUUCAUUUGAAAUUCAAAACAUUGAAGUUAAUUUUUAAACAAUUUUAUUGAGUUGAAGCUAGAGAGUUAAAGAACAAUUAAAUUAAUUAAAGUUUGACUAUAUACACAUGUAACGGAUAUAUUUUGCACUAAUGCAAUUUUAGUGUUUAUCUCACUAUGAACCUAGCAAGACUGGAGUUUUAAGUGUUGGUCUAGUUAUUUUGAACCUGUAGGUUUGAAAAUAUAUAAAGCUCAUUUUAACAUAAAAUGUAUAAUUUUAAAAUUAGAUUAAUCUCCCUCAUACUGUACUCUUUCCUCUCACUUCUUUCCUCAUUACAGUUAUUUUUAUAUAUUUUGCAGAUUGAGUAGAUCAUAUAUAUGAGUCAGCAUAUGCGUAUGUGUACACAUGUACAAAAUAAUGGACAUUUAAAUUUCUAAAACAUUUUCAGAUGUAUUGUCAUAAAGUGAUGCAAAUUUCCCUAUCUUUAUUUUAUUUUUAUUUUACAGAUGUAGAGAUGGAGGCCCAGAGAAAUUAACUAGCUGGGCACAUAAUUGUUUAGAACAGUGGGAAUCUAGAUCUUGAAUCCAAGUCUUGUGAUUGUUGAAGCCACUCUGCUCCCAGAUAAAUUAUGCUUGCAUGUUUGUUUCCUCUCCCCUGUUCUCUCUUAUGCCAUAAAAUAAGGGUGUUGAUUUAUAACAUUUUACAUUUUAAUUAAUAUUUAACAUGUGCAUGUAUUUAAAUAUUUCUAUGCAAUACAUCAAACACAUAAAGUACCCAUUUAAAACCAGAUAAUUUAAAUGUCAUUAAAUGAACUAAAUAUUUUGACUCCCAGAUGUAAGGUAGUCUAGUUAAACUAUUAAGAUUCUGCAAGAAUACAGCCAUGUGAAACGUUUGCAUAUGUGUCUGUAUAUACUUAAACAAUAUAUUUUAACAUCCAACUCACAUAAUUUUAUUAAAAUCUUAUUCCCUAGAAAGAUAAAAGAUGCAGAAAAUGACCAAAAAUGUCACAUCUAGUCAUCAUUUCCACUACAUUUUUAAGGAUAGGAAGAGUAAAUUAAAAGUAGAAGUAGAGUGUGUUGGUGGCCUUAGGAAAGAAAUGAUUGCAACGUAAACGAAAAUGAAACUCCUACCUGGGAGAAAAGUAAUUUAGCUUCAUGAACAGCUGCACCUCGGAGGGUCAGGCAUAUGAACAAUUAAAAUUAAACAACUUGAUUUUAAUAUGCCUUAGUAACCGUGAUUGAUCUUACAGAGCUGUUGUUGACUAUGCAUCAAGAAACAAUUUAGGAUCCAGUUUAAAACAAAGUUUAUAAUCCUUGUUUAAUGGAUUUUGGUACCUCAGGCAAUACAGUGCUGUAAAAAUGAUUAAAAUGUGCCCUGUCUCUGUGUAAUCAAUAAAACCGCUCUAAAAUUAGUGAGGUUCCAGAGACCCCUCAGCAGGCUCGGCAUCGCCGCGCCUGUAGAAUUCCGGAUCAGCCAUCUAUCAUUAUUUCCAUACACAAGGUUCGUUAGACACCUCAUUCUUUAUCUUAUUAGCACCAAAGUCAGCUACACAAUCAAAUCCAAAGGUCACCUUUAACAAUAGUUGGUUAAACCAAAACAUACAUCUAGACAUUAUUAAUAUUGUACAUCAAAAUUCAGUGGUAAGAAUGUCUAGAAGGCCAAUGGAGGGUUAUUAUCAAAAAAAAACCCUGAAAGUAUACACAUUUGUAAACUUGAGAAAAAAAUUCUAAAGUGGCAUCUUAAAGAGACAGAUUUAUUUUAUUAUUGAAAUUAGUGGACACGAAAACUACUUGUUAGUUGGAGUUAUUUUUAAGUUGGAAUUCUUUUUUAAGAUCAUGAAUCACAUGUUUUCUGAACUUGUUUUGUUUAAAUCACAUUUUGUCACACAUUUUAUGAUAGAGCUCUUUAUUUUAAAGAAGUUGAUGAUUUCAAGGGCAUUUUACGAUAUAUAUAGCUAAAGAAAUUUGAAGUUUAACUUUCAUAUACGUUAAAAUUUUAUUCACCUAUUAGUGAAUUUUCUACAUUUAAGUGAAACUAAUGAGAAAUGCAUGUAAGUUCUGGAAAUGUGCUAAACUCAUCCCCCAGUGUAUCAUGUGAAUAAAAUAAUAAAUUAAUGCAAUGCCUUUUUAUAUGUCCAUUACUUCUAAUUUACUCAACUCUUUUUAUUUCACUCCAAUUUUAUAUACUCAGAUAAACUAGUGAUCAUUAGUAAUUAAUUCCUACAUCCAUAGUUAAGAUGCAUGUGGGUAGUUUGCCUGCCUACCUCAAUCUGAUGUCCUUUCCUUUUCUUAUUUGAUUGCUAAACAAAUUAAUGAAUACAUAUUUGUGUCUCUCAUGGAUCAAUUUGGGGCCUAUAAGAAAAUAUUUUGAUAAUUAUUAGUCAAAGAUGGAGAAAAAUAUCUCUUGUUGAAUGCUUAUAAUAACUUCACUGAAUGCUUUGUCACUGCUAUGUGUGUGAUGAAUAUGAAAUAUUUAUUGAUGACAUUAUGUGACAGACAUUGUUCCGUGAACUUAAUGGCUCUUGUAAUUCUUCCCCAGUCAGCACUGUGGUUUUACUGCCAUCAUUAUGUUUAUUCCCACUUGGUACUUACAGAUCAAAAUAUUUCCCCCUGCCCUUCCCAAUACCCCAUUCCCACUGCCACUGGCAUGUAUCACUUAAUUAACAAACGUGAAUCAUGAAAAUGUAAAGACAGAGUUUGUGUUUCAUUUUCUUAUCACACUUAGGACAACAUAUUGAAAAAUGUAGGAGGGGAAAUGUGAUUUUCUGAUAUAGAGGAGGAUGAGAGGCCUAAAGUUCUUAAAACUGAUCCAGAGCAUUUUGGAGAAUCAUAGCAGAAAAUGCAUUAUAGACAUCAAUAAGCCUGAUAUUCUUGUUAAUCUAAAUCAGUUAAAAAUAUAAAAAGACAGAUGGUGUAUGUCUGUCAGUUUUGUUGUUGUUUUGUUUUUCUUUUUAGGACUUAAGAUUUACUUUAAAGAACCCACCAUUAUAUGCUAAGAUUAUAAUAUUAUGGCACUGGAUCUAAAAAGUCGAAUUACUGGAAGACUGGAGCAUUUCUAGUUGAGCAUCUUAGUCGUCCAGCAGAAUCACAGCUUUUGUAGCAUGAAGCCAGACAAGUGAAAGUUUAAAUGUUAAAGAGCACCCUUGUGGACUGAGGGAAAAUGAAGGGAGCCGGCCAGCAGCAGGCUGAGAACAACCAUGUCCAUGAUUUCACUGCAAGGAAGACGUAUGAACAUCGCCUUCUUGGGGCAUGGAACUAAAAGGAAAACAGACGAAUUCUCGAAAUUUCAGAGGGCUUUUCCCUUUUAAAUAGCUUGAUCAUGGAUGUACCAUACUCCAACUUAUGAUGAAUUGCUCCUGGACAUGCCCAGCUUUAUGACUUGGGAUAGAAAAGAAUACAUUCUCCAGAUGAAUGGCCACAUACCAAGUACCUGAAACACUGUUAUCUGCUCCAGCAAAGAGAACUCCUCUGGCACAACACUGCAAUUGGGGCCACCUACAAAGAGUUGACAGUGGUCCAUUGUCAUCCUCCAGGAUCUGGCAAUAUGAGACCCCUGCCUGGUGGUGACUCACGCAUUGGGCUGCAGGAAGCUUGUUUCAGAUCACAGUUGAAUUCUCCUCAUCUAUAGUUGAAUUAUACUCAGCAGAGAAUGCUGAACCAAACUGCGGAAAGUCGGUGUAGGCGCUCUUGAUGGUGGAAAUAGAGAGAGAAGAAUUAGAGCUUUGAAAGAAGGCAGUGAUGACUGGCUUGACAAGAAAGGGGAUAUGUGGAAAAGUCACAGUAGAAUGACCAAAUUGGAUCUAAUGUGAGAGAAGCAUGACAUCUGCAAAGACUUUCUGAUACUGGCCUUGGAAGAUUGCAUGGAUUCUGGUGUCUCAAACAGAGAUAUAAGAUAAGAAGUAUAUAUUUUGACUUAAAAGUAUACACUUAGAAGAUUUGAUAUAUGCUGGUGCCUAAAUGAAUGUUUCAUAAAAGGGAAGUUAGUGGUUAUUAGUACUUUUAUCUUAUUACUAGGAAAUGAAAUGCAGAUACAGAAACACACAUGAAACAAAUAUAUAGCCCAAUGAGAUAUUUUAAGGUGGAUACCCUUGUAACUGCCACUCAAAUCAAUAAAUAGAACUUUUCCAGUGCCCCACGGUCCUCUCCAUGAUCCUUAUGCCAGUUCUAAUCUCCUUCCUGCCCUGAAAUGGGAUCACUAUCCUAUCUAGUGACCACAUUCUUGCACUUCUUUCUAAUGUUAUAUUCAAGUGAGAAUCCCUCAAUAACAGAAUUUAGAAACUAAAACUUUGCUGUCUUUUAGGUCUUUCAUAGUCUGUUGAAGAACGCUGGGUGUUUGAUCUGUAGAUUGAGUCAUGAUCUGGCUUUUGGAGUCUGUAAGACCAGUGUCUGCUUGUCUCUUUUCUGUAAUGUUAUCAGUGGUGACCUGUAAUGCAUAGAUCCACUAACUCAUUCCGGGUUGCAGAAGAAGUCAUACUCCAAUUCUAUCAUUUCUAUUUAAUUUAUUAAUUUAAUACUUCUCUAAAGAGACACUGUUUGGUUACCCAACAGAAAAUUCAAACUGGAAAGGUAUGAUGAAUGUUUUAGUCUGCCCUUUUAUGUACCCAUUUUCAAGAUAAUUAAUUGGUUCCCUAUCACCCUUCAGUUUUAACCAAAUAGUUUCUAAAUCUAUUGUGAAUAAGUGACUCUUCCAUCUUCGGCCAGUAAGAGCUGCUUCAAGUUGCUCUUAGAUCACUUUUUGACAGGACCGCCCUGGUCUUCGAAGGCUUCCUUGCUGUCUGAUAUGGAGACAUUUUACUCUCAUUUUGUAUACUUCUUGCUCGAGGCCUGGAAUCAGCCAUUUCUCCAGGAAGUCCGAGUUUCUUUGAGUGAUAAAUGAUAAUUUAAGACUGCAAUCUAGGAAUUAGGAAUGCUCAUAGUAAGCAGAUUGCACUUGUAACAAGUAGUCAGCAAAAUACAGUAGAAAUGAGUAUCCCAAUAGCAUGAGUUCAUAUAGGUAUUUCUAAUUCAAAUGCAGGUCUAUAGGUUUUUUAAAUUUAACUCUUCUGUAUUACACCUAUAUUUCCUUUCUUCCACUGUAAAAAUCUUUAUUCUCAAUAUCACAAGCAGUGAUAGAGAUAGAAUAACUCAUAAUUACUCAUUUGCUUAAUACAUUAGAAUACAAUAAUCUGAGAAUAACAAUACUAAUAAAUAGUACUACCUCUAAUAUAAUUAAUGAGCAUAGUUAAAAGUAUUUUUUCAUAAAAACCCUCCUUAUUUAUUCCACGAUUUAACAAUAUGCGAGCACAUAGUUGUUCAAUACUAUCUUCAUUUUAACCUUUAGUCUUACUUAGACCUUCAAAUAUCUAUAGAUUUAAUGCUGGCCACCAGUUCUUACAGUGACAUUUUAUAGCCAUUUUAGUAGUCUGAAGUUCGUUCUCUAGUAAAUUCCUCAGGAAGAGCUUAUGGGAACAAUAUAUCCUGAGUUGUUACAUGUGAUAAUAGUUUGGACUUUUUUAUGUGUGUGUGAGGAAGAUUCACCCUGAGCUAACAUCAGCUGCCAAUCUUC